ACGCCGUUGGUGAAAUGGUUAUCAUGCUUGCCUUCCAUUCUGGGCCCAUAUUGGCACAGCCACAGCAAGCGGCGGGGGUUCGAUUCCCUCACGGCGUA
rfam:Rhizoctonia solani AG-1 IB, isolate 7/3/14, WGS project CAOJ01000000 data, contig: 12366